ACGGCGGACGCUGUUCUUGCCGUCGCUCCAUUGAGCUUCGUCUCAUCCUUUCGCCUCGAACCCUGAACAAUUGAAACAGAAAUACAAAUCAAACGAUGAUAAAGCUGCGAUUCUGCUCGAUCUCUCCCUCUUGCCCCAACUCCCAUCUGCCGGGGUUUAGGGCACCGUGGUGCGGUGUACGAAUCAGAGACAAAGAUCUGUGGGUGCUGAGGUUAAGGUAUCAACAGCAAGAAAAGGCGGUACUGUGGAAGGCUAACAGGGCCUGACUCGAUUUCCUUGGCAGCAGCGGGGGUCAUCUGCGAUGGACGAGGUAAACAACCAGACCAAUGGCAUAAAGGUUGAACGACAAGCUGUCGGAGAUCGACGAGGAGUUGCAUAACCCACAACCGACCGUGAAUAAGAGGGAGACGAUCCAUCGGCUCGCCGCAUCCAGUUUCUCAUAUCUGCUCUUCACGCCCUAGGAUCAUCAAAGACAGCCUAAGAAGACAGGAGCUAAGAUCGUGUGAAAGAUGAGAAAGCGACUGACCUGUCCUCUGCUUCUGUUGAUGAUGAUGCUGUCAACAAUGUUGUUCUUGCAAAGCCGGAAGAGUGUACCAAGAAACUAUGUCUAAGAUGCCGGAUGAACCCAUUCAGUUUGAAAGGAUUGGUAAAUUCUGGUUUAUAUCACCCGAUGAAGCUUCUUCACUGUCACAAGCACGAGGAACUAAAUGCCUAUAGCAUCUACACCGGUCUUCACAUGUUUCCGAGACCGGGGAUUAGUAGGAAGGUGGUUCAUAUCAUAAUGAAGUUGCCACGAUGGGGGUGCCUUUUGAUAGUCGAUGCUCCAGUCCAGAAGACCAAAGAUUUAGUAAAACUUACCUGCGGAAGGUUAAACAAUUACAAAGUUGCAUAGUUUUCAUGUCCUCACCGGAAAUAAAUAAAGCACGAGACAUGCAAUGGUUUUUCCUUUUAGUUGCUUAUGUAUUCCUGCCAUUUCUCAUGGAGCU